GGUAACGGCUCACCAAGGCGAUGAUCUUUAGGGGCCUGAGAGGGUGAUCCCCCACACUGGUACUGAGACACGGGACCAGACUCCUACGGGAGGCAGCAGUGAGGAAUAUUGGUCAAUGGGUGCAAGCCUGAACCAGCCAUCCCGCGUGAAGGACGACUGCCCUAUGGGUUGUAAACUUCUUUUGUAUAGGGAUAAACCUACCCUCGUGAGGGUAGCUGAAGGUACUAUACGAAUAAGCACCGGCUAACUCCGUGCCAGCAGCCGCGGUAAUACGGAGGGUGCAAGCGUUAUCCGGAUUUAUUGGGUUUAAAGGGUCCGUAGGCGGACUUAUAAGUCAGUGGUGAAAGCCUGUCGCUUAACGAUAGAACUGCCAUUGAUACUGUAAGUCUUGAGUAUAUUUGAGGUAGCUGGAAUAAGUAGUGUAGCGGUGAAAUGCAUAGAUAUUACUUAGAACACCAAUUGCGAAGGCAGGUUACCAAGAUAUAACUGACGCUGAGGGACGAAAGCGUGGGGAGCGAACA
rnacentral:rRNA from 1 species